rnacentral:rRNA from 1 species
AUGAACGCACGCAGGCCUAACACAUGCAAGUCGAGGGAGGAGCCUUCGGGCUUCGACCGGCGUACGGGUGCGUAACGCGUAUACAAUCUGCCUUUCACAUAGGGAUAGCCCGAAGAAAUUUGGAUUAAUACCUAAUGGUAUAUAGGAGUGGCAUCACAUUUAUAUUAAAGCUGAGGCGGUGAAAGAUGAGUAUGUGUUCUAUUAGCUAGUUGGAGAGGUAACGGCUCCCCAAGGCUACGAUAGAUAGGGGUUCUGAGAGGGAUAUCCCCCACACUGGUACUGAGAUACGGACCAGACUCCUACGGGAGGCAGCAGUGAGGAAUAUUGGACAAUGGUCGGAAGACUGAUCCAGCCAUGCCGCGUGCAGGAAGACGGCCUUAUGGGUUGUAAACUGCUUUUGCAGGGGAAGAAUAAGGACUACGCGUAGUUUGAUGACGGUACUCUGCGAAUAAGCAUCGGCUAA